UAAAUUUUCUCAAAAUUAUGUUUUGGACCCAUAAGUGUUGCUACAUUUGCAAUCUAGUCCUUCUGGCAGCCAAACGCGAUUUGCGCACCUACUCCCCGAUUUUCCGGCCGCUGACCUAGGGCAUGGCCUCCCUCCUCCCUAGCCACCUGCUCCCUGCAAAAAGAAGAGGAAAAACAUCUAUAAAAAGGGGUUUUAACCCCAAAAAUUGGAACACCCCCGAAUAAAAAAAACAGUUUCAGCAGCAAAAGAAAGAGGAAGGAAGAGGAAAGAAAGGAAGAGAAGGAGGAGAAGACGACGGCAGCAAGCGGCGGCGGCGGCACCUAGGGCUUGAAGAAGAAAAAAGGAAAAAAAAAGAAAAAGGAAAAAAUAUAAAAAAAUUAAAUAGUCGGGUCAAACCGACCGACCGACCCAACCAACCAUCGACCCGACCCGCGACCCGCAACCCAAACCCAAACCCAACAGCCAAAAAAAAAAGUAAGCAAAAAAAAAAGAAGAAAAAAAGCAACACACAAAAAAAACAAAUCAGCCCAAAAGAAAGAAAAAAACAGCCCAAGAAGAAGCAAGAAGCAGGCCCAAUUCAGCAGGCUUAGUAUCCCAACGCAGGCCGCCCAGCAGCAGCCAGGCCCAGUUCACAGCAGCCACAGCCGGCCCAGUGUCCAGCGGCCGAAUCUGCCAAAAAAAAGGGAAAAAGAAGAGAAAAAAAGAGAGAGAAAAGAAAAAGAAAAAAGA
rnacentral:lncRNA from 1 species